ACUGACAUGAAAAACAUGACAACGUUAUGUAUCAGUUAGCAUUGGAUACUUGUGUAUACGUAUGACGAAGUUAAGCCGCGCUCUGUGUUUGGGGUUCACAGAUACUAUACCUCCCUUUUAGGUAUAGGAACGUCCCCCGUAUACGUAUCAAGUAUCCAUUCUUACUGGUACGUUAAACUGAGAGUGAGGUGGCUCGGUUUGACUGAUGUGCGAUGGCUCAGUCAACAUUUUUUUGCACCAACUGAGAGUGAGGUGGCUCAGUCUGCAUGUGAAGCUCUGUAACAUGCUUUUAAUUGUAAAAAGUAUUUUAUUUGUUUUUAUCCAAAUUUUAAUUGGGGAUAUUUUACUGUUUUUAUCCAAAUUUUAAUUGGGGAUAUUUUAUUGUUUUUACUAGAACAAACUGAGAGUGAGGUGGCUCAGCCUGCAUGUGAAGCUCUGUAACAUGCUUUUAAUUGUAAAGUAUUUUAUUUGUUUUUAUCCAAAUUUUAAUUGGGGAUAUUUUACUGUUUUUAUCCAAAUUUUAAUUGGGGAUAUUUUAUUGUUUUUAUCCAAAUUUUAAUUGGGGAUAUUUUACUGUUUUUAUCCAAAUUUUAAUUGGGGAUAUUUUAUUGUUUUUACUGGAACAAACUGAGAGUGAGGUGGCUCAGCCUGCAUGUGAAGCUCUGUAACAUGCUUUUAAUUGUAAAGUAUUUUAUUUGUUUUUAUCCAAAUUUUAAUUGGGGAUAUUUUACUGUUUUUAUCCAAAUUUUAAUUGGGGAUAUUUUACUGUUUUUAUCCAAAUUUUAAUUGGGGAUAUUUUAUUGUUUUUACUGGAACAAACUGAGAGUGAGGUGGCUCAGCCUGCAUGUGAAGCUCUGUAACAUGCUUUUAAUUGUAAAAAGUAUUUUAUUUGUUUUUAUCCAAAUUUUAAUUGGGGAUAUUUUACUGUUUUUAUCCAAAUUUUAAUUGGGGAUAUUUUAUUGUUUUUAUCCAAAUUUUAAUUGGGGAUAUUUUACUGUUUGUAUCCAAAUUUUAAUUGGGGAUAUUUUAUUGUUUUUAUCCAAAUUUUAAUUGGGGAUAUUUUACUGUUUUUAUCCAAAUUUUAAUUGGGGAUAUUUUAUUGUUUUUAUCCAAAUUUUAAUUGGGGAUAUUUUACUGUUUUUAUCCAAAUUUUAAUUGGGGAUAUUUUAUUGUUUUUAUCCAAAUUUUAAUUGGGGAUAUUUUACUGUUUUUAUCCAAAUUUUAAUUGGGGAUACUUUAUUGUUUUUAUCCAAAUUUUAAUUGGGGAUAUUUUACUGUUUUUAUCCAAAUUUUAAUUGGGGAUAUUUUAUUGUUUUUACUGGAACAAACUGAGAGUGAGGUGGCUCAGCCUGCAUGUGAAGCUCUGUAACAUGCUUUUAAUUGUAAAAAGUAUUUUAUUUGUUUUUAUCCAAAUUUUAAUUGGGGAUAUUUUACUGUUUUUAUCCAAAUUUUAAUUGGGGAUAUUUUAUUGUUUUUAUCCAAAUUUUAAUUGGGGAUAUUUUACUGUUUGUAUCCAAAUUUUAAUUGGGGAUAUUUUAUUGUUUUUACUGGAACAAACUGAGAGUGAGGUGGCUCAGUCUGCAUGUGAAGCUCUGUAACAUGCUUUUAAGGGGAAAACGUAUUUUAUUUGUUUUUAUCCAAAUUUUAAUUGGGGAUAUUUUACUGUUUUUAUCCAAAUUUUAAUUGGGGAUAUUUUACUGUUUUUAUCCAAAUUUUAAUUGGGGAUAUUUUAUUGUUUUUACUGGAACAAACUGAGAGUGAGGUGGCUCAGUCUGCAUGUGAAGCUCUGUAACAUGCUUUUAAGGGGAAAAAAGUAUUUUAUUUGUUUUUAUCCAAAUUUUAAUUGGGGAUAUUUUACUGUUUUUAUCCAAAUUUUAAUUGGGGAUAUUUUACUGUUUUUAUCCAAAUUUUAAUUGGGGAUAUUUUACUGUUUUUAUCCAAAUUUUAAUUGGGGAUAUUUUACUGUUUUUAUCCAAAUUUUAAUUGGGGAUAUUUUAUUGUUUUUACUAGAACAAACUGAGAGUGAGGUGGCUCAGUCUGCAUGUGAAGCUCUGUAACAUGCUUUUAAGGGGAAAAAAGUAUUUUAUUUGUUUUUAUCCAAAUUUUAAUUGGGGAUAUUUUACUGUUUUUAUCCAAAUUUUAAUUGGGGAUAUCUUAUUGUUUUUACUGGAACAAACUGAGAGUGAGGUGGCUCAGUCUGCAUGUGAAGCUCUGUAACAUGCUUUUAAGGGGAAAAAAGUAUUUUAUUUGUUUUUAUCCAAAGUUUAAUUGGGGAUAUUUUACUGUUUUUAUCCAAAUUUUAAUUGGGGAUAUUUUACUGUUUUUAUCCAAAUUUUAAUUGGAGAUAUUUUACUGUUUUUAUCCUAAUUUAUAAGUUGAGGCAGGUCAUUUUAUGAUUAUUUGGGAAAUGAGGGACUUUUUACAUUAUUUUAUCCAUUUGGGUGUGGGGGACAAAGGGAAUAUUUUACUUUUUAAGACCAAAUUUUAAUUUAUACAGGAGACCUUUUUUUUUUAUCUUUUUUUUAGUUAAAUGUUGAGCCCCCAAGUCAAAUCAAAGACUUAAAAACUGGUACUCCAAAAGGAAAAGAUAGGUGACCUACUGUGGGCAUUUGUCUUGGUGAACUAGCACCUUAAAGUCCAGCUAACCCACAGGCCGGCUGGCUAGUACAAGCAGACAGGUAUUUUUAAUACCAUUUGGCAUUUUUAAACUUUGGCAUUUUUCAUUUGGCUUUUUGUUUUAUGUGUUUUGGAUUUAUACCAUUUGGCAAUUUUCAUUUAUGUUUUUUUCAUUUUUUUCAACAUAUUUUGUAAUCAACACACCAAAAACACUUCAAAAUUAAGAGUGGGAUAUAUACUUUUUGGCCUCCAUAAUGUUUAUCAAUCAAAACCGCAUUCUAUUUUCAAAUUUACAUUACACAAUUUGGCUUUCUGUAACGUUGGCUGUUAAUCUUUUGUACGAAUGCUAUGAUGACCAUUAUGUGUAGAAAAUAAGACUACAUUUCUAAAAGUGGCUCAGGUUCAUAUAUUUAUGUUUGAUAUCAAUCAGUUCUAAAUUUCCUUCACAUUUCUAAAAUUUAAGAUCUUCCAUAUCUGGUACAUCUUAUAAUAUCGUAUUCAUCUACUAACCCAAUUUUCUCAUAGGGACUUAACACGAAGCAGAAGGGGUAUUAGGUGGUAGGUGGUUAAGGGUGUUAUGAUAGGGUGAAAGGGUGAGAAAGGGAGGGAGAAAAAUAGAAUGAUGGAGAGGGUGAGGGUAUAUGAUUGUGAGUGGAAUAUAGAGAGGGAGUAAAUCUGUGAGAGAAUGUGAUUUCAUAGUAAGGGCAGGGUGUACUGGUCUGGAAGUAUAGUUUCUGUUUUGUCUCAUGUAGUUUCUGUUUUCUACAUCAAUCUGAUAAGUUUAAAUAUUGAGAAAUUGCUGUCGUCUAAAAGUUCACAGGUUAACAGCCUUU